CUGUUCAAGGCUCUCAGCUCUGAAGGCUGUGAGACGACACCCCUGAUUUCCCACUUCACACCUCUAUAUUUCUGUGUGUGUGUCUUUAAUUCCUCUAACGCUGCUGGGUUAGGAUCUCGCUGACCAAGCUGGUCUCGGCAAGUGGUGUCCAUAAUGGGGGCUCAAAUCCAGGUCAAAGAGUCACCGGAGUGAUGGUUGGAGAAUGUGGAACUAAGCUGGAGGACACCUGAGUACUCAAGCAAUCCCCAUGAUGGAUCUGGUAAUGGUAAAGCUUCUUAUUCUGGAUCAAAAGGUAAAGUUUUUCAGAUACCCUAUACUUCAGUUCAAAAAGCGGAGCUUGUAGCUGUAAUUGAGGUAUUAAUUAUUUUUAAUAUGCUUAUUAAUGUGAUUUCCGAUUCUUCAUACGUGAUUCAUUCCACACAGUUAAUUAAAAAUGCUCAGUUACUAUUUCAUACAUAUAAACAACUGAUGACAAAAACAAAAAAGGGGGACAAAUGGGGAUUACAGGACAGCUCAUACACAAUUGAAUCUAGUGUUAUCAAUUUUAAAUUCUUUGAGCCUGCCCAAAGCCCAGAUGUUAUCAGCAGCUGAACAGCAUCUACAGAAACCAGCUGCAAAGACAGAAGCAGAACAACUGGUUUGUGGAGAGAUCCUAUAACAAAAAGUUGGGGAAUCGAUAAAAUAAUAACUUGGGGUAGAGGUUAUGCUUAUGUUUCUCCAGGUCAAAAUCAACAGCUGAUUUGGAUACCAUCAAGAUACCUGAAACCUUAUCAUGAGCCAGAUGCCAAGGAAGAGAUUCCGGAAGGAUCCCGAGGACCCCCUGGUUGCAGCCAUGUCAAGUCUGACAGUGAGGAGGACCCCAACUGUCACGAGAAACACCUGUCGAACACAGCCACCCACCUGGGGACAGAUCAAGAAGCUGUCAUAGAUGGUGGAAGAAAACCUGAGGACAGUGGGACAACCAGUCACAAUGAGUAAUUUAAUGGUAGCUGUGAUAGCGGUAAUCACCACUGCUGUGAGUGAUUCCUUCAACAAGGGCUGACACAGAGAACAAUUAUACUUAUUGGGCAUAUUUAUCAAAUUUGGCUGGCAAUAAUGCCUGGAUGUAAUCACUCUAUGAUGCAGUUACGCAUGCUUUCUGAUCUCAGUAUUUACCAUAAUAAAUCUACUCCUAUAAUUGAGGCAUACUGCUCUCAAGAAUCUAUUUGUAAACAAAAUUGAACCUGGCCAGAAAAAAUCAACAUACUUGUUUAGGAAGAUUGCAUUGCAGAACAGAUAGAGGUGCUGCAUAGCAACUCCUAUGGAAUCAUUAUUGAUUGGUUCCCUAAGGGGAUGUUUAGCUUGAAUUGCACCUCUCAGUCUGCAUGCUACAGCCACACUAUGUUCAGCUGAUCUGAACAAAACAGUCGGAUGGUAGACAUGAUAAGAAGUAAGGCAAGAGUUCCUAUUAUCUGGAACCAUGAUGGUAUAGUGGCAUCUCAACCUCAAAUGAUAUGGGUUGUUGUAGGAGCUAAAAAUAAGGAUUUGUGGAAACUAUUAAUAGCUCUUAAUAAGAUCAAAAUUUGGGAAAGAAUAAAAAAGCAUUUAGAAGGACACUCUCUAAACUUGUUUUUGGACAUUGCAAGAUUAAAAGAACAAAUAUUUAAAGCAUCCCAGGCACACUUGACCUUAAUGCCAGGAACUGGAGUGCUUGAAGGAGCUGCAGGCAGAUUAACAGCUAGUAAUCCUUUGAAAUGGAUAAAAACACUUGGAAGCUCUAUGAUUUCAAUGAUGAUUGUGCUUUUAAUCUGUGUUGUUUUUCUUUAGUAUAGUCUGCAGAUGCAGAUCCUGACUCCUGCGAGAAGUAGCUCACCGUGACAAAGCUGCCCUUGCUUUUAUCGCUUUGCAAAUCAAAGAAGGGGGACAUGUUGGGAACAGCCCCCCCCCCCCAAAAUCUGGCCAUAAACUGGCCCCAAAACUGGCCAUAAACAAAAUCUCUGCAGCAAUGUGACAUGUUCAUGAUGGCCAUAAUGCCCAUGCUGGAAGGUUGUGGGUUUACCAGAAUGAGGGCAAGGAACACUUGGCCUGCCCAGGGUGGAAAACCACUUAAAGGUGUUCUUAAAC
rnacentral:lncRNA from 10 species